AAAAAAGAGACUUGCAAGGAACUUCACAAAGGAUCAAACUUAGGCAACUAAAAUCUGCAAUGACUAUCUCUUGCAUCACACACUCAAGUACUAAGACCUGCCCAUUACAUUAUACAGAAAGCUAAAAAGGCUAUUGAUAGCAUCCACGAAGGUUUUAUUUCAUUUCAGUCCUUUCAUUUUUUCUAUUUCACCCUUCGAUGCUUCAAAUUGUUUUUUUUUUUAAUUUGAUUUAAUAGGGUGUUGUUUU
rnacentral:lncRNA from 1 species